CCAUGCCGCGUGUGUGAAGAAGGCCUUCGGGUUGUAAAGCACUUUCAGUUGUGAGGAAAAGUUAGUAGUUAAUACCUGCUAGCCGUGACGUUAACAACAGAAGAAGCACCGGCUAACUCCGUGCCAGCAGCCGCGGUAAUACGGAGGGUGCGAGCGUUAAUCGGAAUUACUGGGCGUAAAGCGCACGCAGGCGGUUUGUUAAGCUAGAUGUGAAAGCCCCGGGCUCAACCUGGGACGGUCAUUUAGAACUGGCAGACUAGAGUCUUGGAGAGGGGAGUGGAAUUCCAGGUGUAGCGGUGAAAUGCGUAGAUAUCUGGAGGAACAUCAGUGGCGAAGGCGACUCCCUGGCCAAAGACUGACGCUCAUGUGCGAAAGUGUGGGUAGCGAACAGGAUUAGAUACCCUGGUAGUCCACACCGUAAACGCUGUCUACUAGCUGUUUGUGGCUUUAAGCCGUGAGUAGCGAAGCUAACGCGAUAAGUAGACCGCCUGGGGAGUACGGCCGCAAGGUUAAAACUCA
rnacentral:rRNA from 1 species